AUCUAUUUAAUAGCUAGUGGGAAGAUAUUGGGACCGUUAAAUCCUUUUUUGAUGCUAAAUUGGCUCUCACAUAUUAGCCUCCCAAGUUUCAAUUUUAUGAUCUGCUGAAGCCAAUCUUCACGUCUCCUAGGUUUUUACCACCAACGAAGAUAGAAAAAUGCCAGUUUUUGGACUCCAUAAUUUCAUAUUGUUGCUUCUUAAGGGAAUGCAGUGUUGAACAUUCCAUAGUUGGGACACGCUCAAGACUGAAGUAUGGGUCUGAACUGAAGGGGAAAGGAAGUGCGUUUUGUGCUGGUGGUGAUGUUCUAAAUAUGGCCCAUUUUGUAAUCACCAGUAGAUGUCUCUUUUCUAGCCUGCGACAAAUCCUUUAAUGACAAGAUAUAAUACAUUGCAAUAGAUUUUUUUUUUGGGUGAUAUUAAGUCAAUGUACUGAACGUUUUAUGAAACUCAAUUUUGGAUCUUUGUUUGAUGAUUUUUACUCAA